GAAGCUUCUCCUCCAAAGCGGAGGGAGGGGAAUCUCAGCAUUCCUAUAACCCUGCUUAUAUAGAUUUUUGAAGACAACAUUUAGGGUUUUUCCCGGGUUUGGUACAAAAUCUGGAUAAACUCCUUUCGGUUCUUAAAACGGAGGAAAUUCUCUUUCUGGCUUUCCGCUUCCCGCGGGAUGCGAACAUGUUUAAAUUGCCCCUAAAGAAGAUCAAAGAUAUGAUUCAAGAAGCAAUGGCUAAAGAGGAGGAAAACAGAGAAAAGCCUCCGGUGGAAGGUUGUGAAGACCGUCGUAUGACGGAGGAGGAAAGGACAAAAUUGCUUGAAGCAUUUUCUUUCCUAUGGGAUA